GUCAGUGGGGUGUGAUGUGAGUCGGGGGUUCCUGUGUCAGCGUCCCACCCUGGCUGUGUCCUGCUGAUCCCGCCUUUGUUCUGGGAGUCCUGUGAGGCCCCGGGUGGAUGCUGCGUAGAGUUACAGGCAGUGCCUGGGCCCCUCUGGAGUUUCCCCCCAUUGGGAGGCCCUGGUCCAGCUGUAGCGGAGUUUUCCCGCCAUGGGAGGCCCUGGUCCAGCUGCAGCACAGCCUUGUUAUUGGGGUGUUUAUAUUCAGGGGACUCAGUUUGUACUAAACCAGGUUUUCUGUCUACAUGGGGACCCCCAGUUUGCUUUUCACAGUCUGCUUAUUCAAGGACAGAGAGUGGCACAGGGCACUGGAACGGAGCUUGGUGGGCGUGGGCGUGGCUGGGGAGGGUGGGCAGUACCUCGGCUCCCACUUGAGGGGGCCACCCUGCUGGCCCAGCAUUGGCUGGGAACGCUCCGUGUGCCCAGCGGGGGUUUGGGGAGCAGAGUGACGGUGGAGAUGGUGCCCUUGCUCCCAGCAUCCCCCGGCUGCUUCCCUCUGCCCCAGCGGGCUCCUCAAGUGAACCGGCUCCUGCCCCAGGGCCUCGCACCAGCCACAGCUGUGGCCUCUGCUGCAUUUCCCUGCGUUGCCCCGGUUUGAACACCCCUUCCCCGCCCCCGGGAGGCCCUCCCUGGUACCCUGUGUGUAGUAGUCUUGCACGGGGACCAGUCCUUCCCCACUCUCCACAGACUGUCCUGCCCGAGCCCCUCAGCGCCCAGGCUGCAGCGCAGCAGACAGGGCCCCGCCUCUUGCUGUGCCCUGGGCAGCCUGUCACACCCGGUGUGCUCCUCUCCCCACCCUCCCAGGGCUGGUGGGGCCGGGCUGGGCCGGAGGCGCUGGUGUCCUGAGCCUGUGCGGCCACCAGAGGCCGCUGCAGCCUUGCCUGGGCUGGGGCGCUCCCCAAGCUGCCCUGCCAGGUUCACCUUGCCAGGCUCUACAGCCUUUCCCACUGGGACUCGGCCAGGGCCUCCCUCCUGAUGUCACGGGGGGUUUGUGCUGGGCUGUUGGGCCCAUCUCGGAUGACGGGUGAGGCCAGGAGCCGGCUGCAGGAGUGAAAGCACCUCGCUGGAGGCAGACACUCCAGGCUCACUCGGCUGUGGGCUGAGCUGGGGCCCCCAGAAGAUGCACUGAAGUCCUAGCCCUCAGGGCCUCGGAGUGGGAUGUCAUCUGGGGACAUGGGGUCGUUACACAGGUCAUCAAGGCUCGGAUCCUGUAGGGUGGGGUCCCAGGGCCUCGGAGUGGGAUGUCAUCCGGAGAUGGGGUCCUUACAGAGGUCGUUACGGAGGUCAUCAAGGCUCGGAUCCUGUACGGUGGGGUCUAUGUAGCUGGGGUCAACCUGGACGCAGGCCGGAGGAGGGAGAGCAUCGUGGGAAGGGGAUGGGGAUGGUGGCGUCUGCACGCUAAGGAGAGCCAGGAGGAACCUUUGCUGCCAACACCAGGACCUGGGACUUCAGCCUCUAGAACGGGGCACGUUGUCGCUGUCCAGUCCGCCUGGUCUGUGCUUGUUGACGGGAGCCUGAGCUAACAGAUGAACUGCGCUGAGGUUGCCAGACUGUCACACCGACUGUCCGCACCCCAGCUGUGACAUCCCAGUUCUCCGGGCUCCCCGCAGGCUCUCCAGUCACCCUAGGUGUGUUCUGCUGGUGGUGACAAGUCACAUGGCUUCAGUGGAAGGGACUCCGCUGGGGGGCCACAGCUAACCUCAGGCACAACUGGGCCUUCACCCAGAGUCACCCACAGCCGGGCUCUGCACCUCAGCUCCAAGGUGGCACCACGGAUCCUGCUCUUGCAGGAGGAGGUGUCAGCCUGGCUCUUCCUGGCCUCACUGCUGUGCAGAGCUCCUGAAGGGUGGAUGGGAACUGGGAGAUGGGACUGGCAGGAGGCUGGAUCCCCACACUGAUCUCUGCAGGGGCCGGGCCUGGGUGUGGGGGAGCGGGGGGACGGAAGCCAGGCCUGCUGAGCAGGAGCAGGUGUGUGGGGGCUCCAGGGCACGGGGGAGGCUCUGGCCCAGGCCUUCUGGCCACGUCGUGUCCUUGGCCUGCUGGUCUGUGGCGUUCCUGACCUCAGUGCACCCAGGCCUGUCCAGGAGGGAUGUCGUGUUGCCUGACCCAGCCGACCGUCUGUAGACGGGGCCCCGCAGGGCCGAGUGGAGCUGAGUGGCCCUGGAGGAGCCAGGCCAGGGCCUCUGGGCUCACCUGCUGGGUGACGCUCUGUGGAGAAUUGAGGAGGCUCCAAAAGGGGCCUGAGUGGCCGGGACAACCUCUGUGACUCGGGUGAGAGGCCAGAGGGCCAGGCUGGCUGUGAGGCUCCUGGCCCCGCUGGUUAGAACUCAGACUGUGGCAGCUCUGGGACCACCCCAGACUCAACUGGAUGUGCACGUCUGGGCACAGCGGGUCUGGGCUGGGACCUGCGUGUCCGGGCGCUCCCGGGUGCUUGUCACUGCUGACCCAGGCUGGGCUGUCGCCAGUGUCCUCCCCGGCUGCGCCCUGUGCCCCCCUCCCCCACUCCGCCCCAGGCGUUCUGUACCCUGCUUCUGUGAAGCAAACUAACAGCAACCCCGGCCUGGGCCUUUGCCCCGUGCCCUCUGCCCAGCGCAGCACCUCCCAGGCAGCGUCUCCCUGCGCCUUCCCCUCCCUCCAGUCUGGGCUCGGUGGAGGGGAACUGCUGGGUUCCAUUAGAGGCCCUUGCAGAGGGUCUUGCAGGAUGCUGAUCGUGAAUAUUUAGCAACAAGUCAGGAUUGGGCCCCAGAGGCCGGUGGCUCCUGUGCACCCAGCAGGCAGGAGCCCCAGGAGGUGGGGCAGCCAGGCCACUUCCAGCCUCGUCGCCCUGUAGGCAGCACGGUCCCUCCUAGAGUCCCCUGGGGCAAGGGAGUGAAAUAGUGAUUUUCCUCUGCAUAAACCAACAGCCUUUUCCCUAAUUAAAACAGGGUUUCAGUUUUAUUUAUAAUUUUUAAAUGACAAAGGCAACAUGAACCUGAUGGUCAACAUUCAAAUGAAAGCUCAGCGCACAGAGAAGCUGUGAGGAGUCCCGGCCAUUCCCCCUAAACGGCCCCUUCCUGUUUGGCCUCAGCCUCAGUUCAAAGCUUUGCUGUGUAUCUUUGUUUUUUCUUUUAACACGCAAACUGUUCAUUCCUUCUGAGCUUCAGUAUUCUCAUCGCAAGGAUAUGCAGAAUGGGUCAUGCCUCAGGCGUGCGAGGGGCAGUGGACCGUGGUUUCUUGGCCACGCCCUCGGGCAUCUCCUGCCACCCCCCCUUCGCUGUGUCCAAAACGGAACCUCAGCCCAGCCUUCUCGUCUGCACCAGAGCCUGACUCCUGUUGCCCUGGGAAGCGCUCGGUCCCCCAGCACGGAGCCCCCAUCUGCCAGCACCACAAACGUGCCACUGGGGACGCCACUGCCUCCUGGCUUGAGUUUGAGCUUUUUAAAACCACUUCCAAAAAUUCUGUAUAAACAAAAACAUUUUAAAUGUAAGGAUGAGUGCCCCAUUGGCAGCAUUUGGGGCAUACCGAGUUGAGGUGAAACUCAUUCAGUUCACCGGUUUGUCUUUUCUUUUUGGUGCUGGGUAAGGGGCAGCCCAGGCGUUUCCUCCCGUUUGCCCUGGGUGGCCCCUGUGGUGACAGUCACUCUGCCUCCUGCUCCUGCAGCCGGCACCCCCCAUGGUCCUGGUUCCAAAGACCACCUGGUCCCUGGGCUGAGGACGCCGCCGCCACCUCGCCUUCCCCUCCCCAGAUGAAAUCCCUAGCCAAGUGUGGAGGCCUAACCCGACUGGAACGCCCACCUCCCUUCCCCACACCAUCCGGCCUCCCAGAGUGCAGAUACAGGCCUGGGCCGCGGGGACCCUGAGCUGACGGAGAUUCUGUUUUUCCCUCCACAGGAGGACAGGCACAGAGCACCUGGAAGGCCACGUCCCUCCCUGCCGGCGGGUGUGCCCAGGACCUACAUCCAUGUUCUUCCAGCCGGCUCAUUCCUCUGAGUCAGCCAGGUUGGGCACAGUCAGGAGGCCCUUGCUAGAGGCUGGUGCCUUCGUCCUGGACUUCCCGGGCUGCAGAACUGGAGAGAAGACAGUGGUACCUUGUAGAAGUUGCCUGCUCUCAGGAAAUGAAUGUGGCUGCCCGACAAUUAAGUCACAGCUACAUCCGUAAUGAGGGACGUCUGACGAGCUGUGGAGUGCGCGUUCCGGCAAUAAGGGACGCUGGAGCAUUUAACUGGCAUUUAGGAAAUCAGCUGCGGAGAAUUAGCCGUCGGCCCGUGUUUCCUGAACAUCAAUCGUGCUGGGAGCUGUGGCGAAGGCCUCCGCCGUAAGCGAUUCCUGCUCGACAGUGAGGAGCGUGUCCGUUCCCUGGGUGCCUGGGUCUCCCCCACUGGGCCAGCAGCCCAUGGUGAAGGCCAUGCCAGUCUCCAACAGCAUGGGCUCCACUCCUGGCUGGGAGGGUGGCACAGCCCCAGGCCUCAGUUGUCCCAUCUACAGAGUGUGCUGCCAGGGGCUGUGUCUGCUCAGAAAAUGACUUCAAAACGUCGUGGUGUGGAACUGCAGCAGCAGCACUGAUUUUGCUCAUGAAUCUGCAAUGUGGACUUGGUGGGGACGGCUCGCCUCUGCUCCAGGUGGCAGAAGGUAGAGUUGGGUGUUGGGGACUGGGGUCAUUAGCUCACCACACGCCAUGACACACACCGCUACACAGACACAUCAGUACACGUGCACACCACUACACACACCACACACACCACACACACCACUACACACAU